UAGGGAAUCUUCGGCAAUGGGGGGAACCCUGACCGAGCAACGCCGCGUGAGUGAAGAAGGUUUUCGGAUCGUAAAGCUCUGUUGUUAAGGAAGAACGAGUGUGAGAAUGGAAAGUUCAUGCUGUGACGGUACUUAACCAGAAAGGGACGGCUAACUACGUGCCAGCAGCCGCGGUAAUACGUAGGUCCCGAGCGUUGUCCGGAUUUAUUGGGCGUAAAGCGAGCGCAGGCGGUUAGAUAAGUCUGAAGUUAAAGGCAGUGGCUCAACCAUUGUAGGCUUUGGAAACUGUUUAACUUGAGUGCAGAAGGGGAGGGUGGAAUUCCAUGUGUAGCGGUGAAAUGCGUAGAUAUAUGGAGGAACACCGGUGGCGAAAGCGGCUCUCUGGUCUGUAACUGACGCUGAGGCUCGAAAGCGUGGGGAGCGAACAGG
rnacentral:rRNA from 1 species